AGCUUGCUGGGGGAUUAGUGGCGAACGGGUGAGUAACACGUGAGUAACCUGCCCUUGACUCUGGGAUAAGCCUGGGAAACUGGGUCUAAUACCGGAUAUGACUGAUCAUCGCAUGGUGGUUGGUGGAAAGCUUUUGUGGUUUUGGAUGGACUCGCGGCCUAUCAGCUUGUUGGUGGGGUAAUGGCCUACCAAGGCGACGACGGGUAGCCGGCCUGAGGAGGGUGACCGGCCACACUGGGACUGAGACACGGCCCAGACUCCUACGGGAGGCAGCAGUGGGGAAUAUUGCACAAUGGGCGAAAGCCUAUGCAGCGACGCCGCGUGAGGGAUGACGGCCUUCGGGUUGUAAACCUCUUUCAGUAGGGAAGAAGCCGUAAGGUGACGGUACCUGCAGAAGAAGCGCCGGCUAACUACGUGCCAGCAGCCGCGGUAAUACGUAGGGCGCAAGCGUUAUCCGGAAUUAUUGGGCGUAAAGAGCUCGUAGGCGGUUUGUCGCGUCUGCCGUGAAAGUCCGGGGCUCAACUCCGGAUUCUGCGGUGGGUACGGGCAGACUAGAGUGAUGUAGGGGAGACUGGAAUUCCUGGUGUAGCGGUGAAAUGCGCAGAUAUCAGGAGGAACACCGAUGGCGAAGGCAGGUCUCUGGGCAUUAACUGACGCUGAGGAGCGAAAGCAUGGGGAGCGAACAGGAUUAGAUACCCUGGUAGUCCAUGCCGUAAACGUUGGGCACUAGGUGUGGGGGACAUUCCACGUUUUCCGCGCCGUAGCUAACGCAUUAAGUGCCCCGCCUGGGGAGUACGGCCGCAAGGCUAAAACUCAAAGGAAUUGACGGGGGCCCGCACAAGCGGCGGAGCAUGCGGAUUAAUUCGAUGCAACGCGAAGAACCUUACCAAGGCUUGACAUGAACCAGACCGCCGCAGAAAUGUGGUUUCCCCUUUGGGGUUGGUUUACAGGUGGUGCAUGGUUGUCGUCAGCUCGUGUCGUGAGAUGUUGGGUUAAGUCCCGCAACGAGCGCAACCCUCGUUCUAUGUUGCCAGCACGUGAUGGUGGGGACUCAUAGGAGACUGCCGGGGUCAACUCGGAGGAAGGUGGGGACGACGUCAAAUCAUCAUGCCCCUUAUGUCUUGGGCUUCACGCAUGCUACAAUGGCCGGUACAAAGGGUUGCGAUACUGUGAGGUGGAGCUAAUCCCAAAAAGCCGGUCUCAGUUCGGAUUGGGGUCUGCAACUCGACCCCAUGAAGUCGGAGUCGCUAGUAAUCGCAGAUCAGCAACGCUGCGGUGAAUACGUUCCCGGGCCUUGUACACACCGCCCGUCAAGUCACGAAAGUUGGGUAACACCCGAAGCCGGUGGCCUAACCCCUUGUGGGA
rnacentral:rRNA from 1 species